AGAGUUUGAUCCUGGCUCAGGAUGAACGCUAGCGACAGGCCUAACACAUGCAAGUCGAGGGGUAACAGGGAAGCUUGCUUCCGCUGACGACCGGCGCACGGGUGCGUAACGCGUAUGCAACCUACCCAUUACAGGGGGAUAGCCCGGAGAAAUCCGGAUUAAUACCCCAUGGUUCCUAAGAGCUUCAUGGCUUUAAGGAUAAAGAUUUAUCGGUAAUGGAUGGGCAUGCGUAAGAUUAGUUAGUUGGUGAGGUAACGGCUCACCAAGACAGCGAUCUUUAGGGGUUCUGAGAGGAAGAUCCCCCACACUGGUACUGAGACACGGACCAGACUCCUACGGGAGGCAGCAGUGAGGAAUAUUGGGCAAUGGAGGCAACUCUGACCCAGCCAUGUCGCGUGCAGGAAGACUGCCCUAUGGGUUGUAAACUGCUUUUAUAUGGGAAUAAUUUCGCUACGUGUAGCGAGUUGCAUGUACCAUAUGAAUAAGGACCGGCUAACUCCGUGCCAGCAGCCGCGGUAAUACGGAGGGUCCAAGCGUUAUCCGGAUUUAUUGGGUUUAAAGGGUGCGUAGGUGGAAUUAUAAGUCAGUGGUGAAAGUUUGCGGCUCAACCGUAAAAUUGCCAUUGAAACUGUAGUUCUUGAGAGAAUUCGAGGUAAGCGGAAUGUGUUGUGUAGCGGUGAAAUGCAUAGAUAUAACACAGAACACCGAUUGCGUAGGCAGCUUACCAGGAUUUUUCUGACACUGAUGCACGAAAGCGUGGGUAGCGAACAGGAUUAGAUACCCUGGUAGUCCACGCCGUAAACGAUGCAUACUCGUUGUUGGCAAAUUAUAUUGUCAGUGACCAAGCGAAAGUAUUAAGUAUGCCACCUGGGGAGUACGUCGGCAACGAUGAAACUCAAAGGAAUUGACGGGGGCCCGCACAAGCGGGGGAGCAUGUGGUUUAAUUCGAUGAUACGCGAGGAACCUUACCUGGGCUAGAAUGCCUUUGCCAUCCCGGGAAACCGGGAGUUCCUUCGGGACGAAGUGCAAGGUGCUGCAUGGUUGUCGUCAGCUCGUGCCGUGAGGUGUUGGGUUAAGUCCCGCAACGAGCGCAACCCCUAUUCUUAGUUGCCAGCAUGUAAUGGUGGGGACUCUAAGAAGACUGCCUGCGCAAGCAGAGAGGAAGGAGGGGACGACGUCAAAUCAUCAUGGCCCUUACGCCCAGGGCUACACACGUGCUACAAUGGCGCAUACAGAGGGUAGCUACCUGGUAACAGGAUGCCGAUCUCAAAAAGUGCGUCUCAGUUCGGAUCGAAGUCUGCAACUCGACUUCGUGAAGGUGGAAUCGCUAGUAAUCGCGCAUCAGCAAUGGCGCGGUGAAUACGUUCCCGGACCUUGUACACACCGCCCGUCAAGCCAUGGGAGUUGGGAGGACCUGAAGGCAGUAACCGUUUAGGAGCUGUUUAGGGUUAAACCAGCGACUGGGGCUAAGUCGUAACAAGGUA
rnacentral:rRNA from 1 species